AAUGAACGCUGGCGGCGUGUCUUAAGCAUGCAAGUCGUGCGGCAAGGGUAGCAAUACCCCUAGAGCGGCGGACUGGUGAGUAACGCGUGGGUGAUCUGCCCUUGGGUUGGGGAUAGACAUUAGAAAUAGUGGGUACUACCGAACAGGAUGGCGAGACUGUGGUCUUGACAUGAAAGGCGCUUCGGCGCCACCAGAGGAUGAGCCCGCGUCCCAUUAGCUAGUUGGUGAGGCAACGGCCCACCAAGGCGAUGAUGGGUAGGCGGCCUGAGAGGGUGUACGCCCACACUGGGACUGAGAUACGGCCCAGACUCCUACGGGAGGCAGCAGCUAAGAAUAUUCCGCAAUGGACGAAAGUCUGACGGAGCGACGCCGCGUGGAUGACGAAGGCCGAAAGGUUGUAAAAUCCUUUUGUUGGGGAAGAAUAAGGCUGGGAGGGAAUGCCCGGCUGAUGACAUGAACCGACGAAUAAGUCCCGGCUAACUACGUGCCAGCCGCCGCCGUAA
rnacentral:rRNA from 1 species